rnacentral:rRNA from 1 species
GAUGAACGCUGGCGGCGUGCCUAAUACAUGCAAGUCGAGCGAACAGACGAGGAGCUUGCUCCUCUGACGUUAGCGGCGGACGGGUGAGUAACACGUGGAUAACCUACCUAUAAUACUGGGAUAACUUCGGGAAACCGGAUCUAAUACCGGAUAAUAUAUUGAACCGCAUGGUUCAAUAGUGAAAGACGGUUUUGCUGUCACUUAUAGAUGGAUCCGCGCUGCAUUAGCUAGUUGGUAAGGUAACGGCUUACCAAGGCAACGAUGCGUAGCCGACCUGAGAGGGUGAUCGGCCACACUGGAACUGAGACACGGUCCAGACUCCUACGGGAGGCAGCAGUAGGGAAUCUUCCGCAAUGGGCGAAAGCUUGACGGAGCAACGCCGCGUGAGUGAUGAAGGUCUUCGGAUCGUAAAACUCUGUUAUUAGGGAAGAACAAAUGUGUAAGUAACUAUGCACGUCUUGACGGUACCUAAUCAGAAAGCCACGGCUAACUACGUG